UACGAAGGGGGCGAGCGUUGUUCGGAAUUACUGGGCGUAAAGGGCGCGUAGGCGGCCGAUCAAGUCAGAUGUGAAAGUCCUGGGCUUAACCUGGGGACUGCAUUUGAUACUGAUUGGCUUGAAUGCAGGAGAGGAUAGCGGAAUUCCCAGUGUAGAGGUGAAAUUCGUAGAUAUCGAGAGGAACACCGGUGGCGAAGGCGGCCUUCUGGACAGUGACUGACGCUGAGACGCGAAAGCGUGGGGAGCAAACAGG
rnacentral:rRNA from 1 species